rnacentral:rRNA from 1 species
GACGAACGCUGGCGGCGUGCUUAACACAUGCAAGUCGAACGAAGAGCGACGGAAGCUUGCUUCUAUCAAUCUUAGUGGCGAACGGGUGAGUAACGCGUAAUCAACCUGCCCUUCAGAGGGGGACAACAGUUGGAAACGACUGCUAAUACCACAUACGCUCUAAUCUCGGCAUCGAGGGUGGAUGAAAGGUGGCAUCUACUUGUAAGCUUACAAUGAAGGAGGGGAUUGCGUUUGAUUAGCUAGUUGGAGGGGUAACGGCCCACCAAGGCGAUGAUCAGUAGCCGGUCUGAGAGGAUGAACGGCCACAUUGGGACUGAGACACGGCCCAGACUCCUACGGGAGGCAGCAGUGGGGAAUCUUCCGCAAUGGACGAAAGUCUGACGGAGCAACGCCGCGUGAGUGAUGACGGCCUUCGGGUUGUAAAGCUCUGUUAAUCGGGACGAAAGGCCUUCUUGCGAAUAGUGAGAAGGAUUGACGGUACCGGAAUAGAAAGCCACGGCUAACUACGUG